rnacentral:rRNA from 1 species
AGCGAACGCUGGCGGCAGGCCUAACACAUGCAAGUCGAGGGGUAGAAGUUGCUUGCAACUUUGAGACCGGCGCACGGGUGCGUAACGCGUAUGCAAUCUGCCUUGUACUGAGGGAUAGCCCAGAGAAAUUUGGAUUAAUACCUCAUAGUAUUAUGGUGUGGCAUCACAUUAUAAUUAAAGUUCCAACGGUACAAGAUGAGCAUGCGUCCCAUUAGUUAGUUGGUAAGGUAACGGCUUACCAAGACGAUGAUGGGUAGGGGUCCUGAGAGGGAGAUCCCCCACACUGGAACUGAGACACGGACCAGACUCCUACGGGAGGCAGCAGUGAGGAAUAUUGGUCAAUGGGCGCAAGCCUGAACCAGCCAUGCCGCGUGCAGGAUGACGGUCCUAUGGAUUGUAAACUGCUUUUAUACGGGAAGAAACACUCCUACGUGUAGGAACUUGACGGUACCGUAAGAAUAAGGAUCGGCUAACUCCGUGCCAGCCGCCGCCGUAAGAC